UACGAAGGGGGCUAGCGUUGCUCGGAAUUACUGGGCGUAAAGGGCGCGUAGGCGGACAGUUUAGUCAGAGGUGAAAGCCCAGGGCUCAACCUUGGAAUUGCCUUUGAUACUGACUGUCUUGAGUACGGGAGAGGUGUGUGGAACUCCGAGUGUAGAGGUGAAAUUCGUAGAUAUUCGGAAGAACACCAGUGGCGAAGGCGACACACUGGCCCGUUACUGACGCUGAGGCGCGAAAGCGUGGGGAGCAAACA
rnacentral:rRNA from 1 species